UUCGAGUGGCGGACGGGUGAGUAACGCGUGGGUAACCUGCCUUACACAGGGGGAUAACACCUGGAAACAGGUGCUAAUACCGCAUAAGCGCACAGGGCCGCAUGGCCCGGUGUGAAAAACUCCGGUGGUGUAAGAUGGACCCGCGUCUGAUUAGCUUGUUGGCGGGGUAGGGGCCCACCAAGGCGACGAUCAGUAGCCGGCCUGAGAGGGUGGACGGCCACAUUGGGACUGAGGCACGGCCCAAACUCCUACGGGAGGCAGCAG
rnacentral:rRNA from 1 species